UCCUUGAUGGCUCAGAUGGUAAAGCAUCUGUCUACAAUGCGGGAGACCCGGGUUCGAUCCCUGGGUUGGGAA
rnacentral:tRNA from 1 species